UACGAAGGGGGCUAGCGUUGUUCGGAUUCACUGGGCGUAAAGGGUGCGUAGGUGGUCAGGUAAGUCUGAUGUGAAAGCUCUGGGCUCAACCCAGAAAUGGCAUUGGAUACUAUCUGGCUAGAGGAAUGGAGGGGGGACUGGAAUACUUGGUGUAGCAGUGAAAUGCGUAGAUAUCAAGUGGAACACCAGUGGCGAAGGCGAGUCCCUGGACAUUUCCUGACACUGAGGCACGAAAGCUAGGGGGAGCAAACAGG
rnacentral:rRNA from 1 species